rnacentral:rRNA from 1 species
GACGAACCGAGCGAACGUUAUUCGGAAUCACUGGGCUUAAAGGGCGCGUAGGCGGGUCGGCAAGUCAGGGGUGAAAGCCCCAGCUCAACUGGGGAAGUGCCUUUGAUACUGCCGAUCUCGAGGGAGGUAGGGCGUGCGGAACUUCCGGUGGAGCGGUGAAAUGCGUAGAUAUCGGAAGGAACACCGGUGGCGAAGGCGGCUUCUGGACGACAACUGACGCUGAGACGCGAAAGCGUGGGGAGCAAACAGG